rnacentral:rRNA from 1 species
CAGCAGCAGCCGCGGGAAUACGAAGGGGGCUAGCGUUGCUCGGAAUUACUGGGCGUAAAGGGAGCGUAGGCGGACAUUUAAGUCAGGGGUGAAAUCCCAGAGCUCAACCCUGGAACUGCCUUUGAUACUGGGUGUCUUGAGUGUGAUAGAGGUAUGUGGAACUCCGAGUGUAGAGGUGAAAUUCGUAGAUAUUCGGAAGAACACCAGUGGCGAAGGCGACAUACUGGAUCAUUACUGACGCUGAGGCUCGAAAGCGUGGGGAGCAAACAGGAUUAGAUACCCCCGUAGUCCCUGUCUCUUAUAC